GCGCAUGCGCCAUAGCUCUUUAGCGAGGGAAGGCUGUACUUAGCAGGUCUCCGGAAGUUGCGGGAUGGGCUGUGAAGCGGUCAAGCCUUGCCGCCUUCAGUCCCUAGUCUCUGGGCCCCCGCCCUCCAGCCGCCUUUGAGUCGUGCCUGGGUCCUCACCCAUGCUUCAGAACCGUGAAGAAAGGAAGCUCGCGUGUUUGCUAGAAAACCUAGUUGGGAGUGCGAGGCAGAGAACGUUCAGCACCCUUGUUCCUCCCGAACCCCCGUCCAACAUGCUCCCCGUGGCUGAUGUGUUGAGUCAAGAUGAGCUGCGCAAAAAGCUAUACCAGACGUUUAAGGAUCGGGGUAUACUGGACACACUCAAGACACAACUUCGAAACCAGCUAAUUCAUGAGUUGAUGCACCCUGUAUUGAGUGGAGAACUGCAACCUCGGUCCAUUUCAGUAGAAGGGAGCUCCCUCUUAAUAGGCGCCUCUAACUCUUUAGUGGCAGAUCACUUACAAAGAUGUGGCUAUGAAUAUUCACUUUCUGUUUUCUUUCCAGAAAGUGGUUUGGCAAAAGAAAAGGUAUUUACUAUGCAGGAUCUAUUACAACUCAUUAAAAUCAACCCUACUUCCAGUCUCUACAAAUCACUGGUUUCAGGAUCUGAUAAAGAAAAUCAAAAAGGUUUUCUUAUGCAUUUUUUAAAAGAAUUGGCAGAAUAUCAUCAAGCUAAAGAAAGUUGCAAUAUGGAAACUCAGACAAGUUCGACACUUAGCAGAGAUUCUCUGGCUGAGAAGCUUCAGCUUAUUGAUGAUCAGUUUGCAGAUGCUUACCCUCAGCGUAUCAAGUUCGAAUCUUUAGAAAUAAAGCUAAAUGAAUAUAAGAGAGAAAUAGAAGAGCAACUUCGGGCAGAAAUGUGUCAAAAGUUGAAGUUUUUUAAAGAUACCGAGAUAGCAAAAAUUAAAAUGGAAGCGAAAAAAAAGUAUGAGAAGGAAUUAGCCAUGUUCCAGAAUGAUUUUGAGAAAGCCUGUCAAGCAAAAUCUGAAGCCCUCGUUCUUCGGGAAAAGAGUACCCUUGAAAGAAUUCAAAAGCACCAAGAGAUUGAAACAAAAGAAAUUUAUGCUCAAAGGCAGCUUUUACUAAAAGAUAUGGAUUUGCUAAGAGGAAGAGAAGCAGAGCUGAAGCAAAGAGUUGAAGCUUUUGAAUUGAACCAGAAGCUCCAGGAAGAAAAACAUAAAAGCAUAACUGAGGCACUUAGGAGACGGGAGCAGAAUAUAAAGAACUUUGAGGAGACCUAUGACCGAAAGCUCAAGAAUGAACUUCUAAAGUAUCAACUUGAACUGAAGGAUGACUACAUCAUUAGAACUAAUCGACUGAUUGAAGAUGAAAGGAAGAAUAAAGAAAAAGCUGUUCAUUUGCAAGAGGAGCUCACAGCUAUUAAUUCAAAAAAGGAGGAACUCAAUCAAUCUGUAAAUCGUGUGAAAGAACUUGAGCUUGAAUUAGAGUCUGUCAAAGCACAGUCUUUGGCAAUAACAAAACAAAACCAUAUGCUGAAUGAAAAGGUUAAAGAGAUGAGUGAUUAUUCACUACUAAAAGAAGAGAAACUGGAGCUUCUGGCACAAAAUAAAUUACUUAAACAACAACUGGAAGAGAGUAGAAAUGAAAACUUGCGUCUCCUAAACCGCCUAGCUCAGCCAGCUCCUGAACUUGCAGUCUUUCAGAAAGAACUACGGAAAGCUGAAAAGGCUAUAGUGGUUGAGCAUGAGGAGUUCGAAAGCCGCAGGCAAGCUCUGCAUAAACAACUGCAAGAUGAAAUUGAGCAUUCUGCACAGCUGAAGGCCCAGAUUCUGGGUUACAAAGCUUCUGUAAAGAGGUUAACUACUCAGGUUGCCGAUUUAAAAUUGCAACUGAAACAAACUCAGACAGCCCUAGAGAAUGAAGUGUACUGCAAUCCAAAGCAGUCUGUGAUCGAUCGUUCUGUCAAUGGAUUAAUAAAUGGCAACAUGGUGCCUCUCAAUGAUGAGAUAAGUGGGGAUUUCUUGAACAGUCCUUUUAAACAUGAAAAAGUUCUAGCACGUAUGGUUGCAUCAAGGAUCACAAAUUAUCCAAAUGCAUGGGUGGAGGGUAGUUCCCCUGAUUCUGACCUUGAGUUUGUAGCCAAUACUAAGGCAAGGGUCAAAGAGCUUCAGCAAGAGGCUGAACGCUUGGAAAAGGCUUUCAGAAGUUACCAUCGGAGAGUCAUUAAAAACUCUGCCAAAAGCCCACUAGCAGCAAAGAGCCCACCAUCUCUGCACUUGCUGGAAGCCUUCAAAAACAUGACUUCGAGUUCCCCGGAAAGACAUAUCUUUGGAGAGGACAGAGUUGUCUGUGAGCAGCCUCAAGUGGGCACACUUAAAGAAGAAAGGAAUGACGUCUUGGAAGCACUGACAGGCAGUGCAGCCUCGAGGCUCCACGGGGGCACUUCCUCCAGACGCCUCUCUUCCACACCCCUUCCAAAAGCAAAAAGAAGCCUCGAAAGUGAAAUGUAUCUAGAAGGUCUGAGCAGAUCACACGUUGUUUCCCCCAGUCCUUGUCCUGACAGAAUGCCCCUACCAUCACCCACUGAGUCUAGGCACAGCCUCUCCAUCCCUCCCGUCUCCAGCCCUACGGAGCAGAAAGUGGGUCUUUAUCAAAGACAAACUGAACUUCAGGACAAAAGUGAAUUUUCAGAUGUGGACAAGCUAGCUUUUAAGGAUAAUGAGGAAUUUGAAUCAUCUUUUGAAUCUGCAGGGAACGGGCCAAGGCAGUUGGAAAUGGAUGGGCUCUCUCCUGCCGGGGAUAUGCCUCAUGUGGAUGCUGCUGCAGCUGCUGUGCCCCUCUCAUAUCAGCACCCAAGUGUAGAUCAGAAACAAAUUGAAGAACAAAAGGAAGAAGAAAAAAUACGGGAACAGCAAGUGAAAGAACGAAGGCAGAGAGAAGAAAGAAGGCAGAGUAAUCUACAAGAAGUUUUAGAAAGGGAACGAAGAGAACUAGAAAAACUGUAUCAGGAAAGGAGGAUGAUUGAAGAAUCACUGAAGAUUGAAAUAGAAAAUGAAUUAGAAAUGGAAAAUGAAUUAGAAAUGAGUAAUCAAGAAAUGAAAGACAAAUCUGCUCACAGUGAAAACCCUUUAGAGAAAUACAUGAAAAUCAUCCAGCAGGAGCAAGACCAGCAGUCAGCAGAUAAGAGCUCAAAAAAGAUGGUCCAAGAAGGCUCCCUAGUGGACACGCUGCAAUCUAGUGACAAAGUUGAAAGUUUAACAGGCUUUUCUCAUGAAGAACCAGAUGACUCUUGGUAACCAUGUUUGCUGCCCAGCUUCUAACUUACAUACCAUGAGAAGUUACAUAACAUUUACUCCUUUGUAAAUGUUUCUCUAUCAUCAGACAAAACUCAAUAAAAAUACACUGCAUUGGUCCCCUCUGGAGAACACAGCAACAAGGCACCAUCUUGGAAGCAGAGACCGGGCCUUCACCAGACAUCCAACCUGCCAGUGCCUUGAUCUUGGACUUCCCAGCUUCAAACGGUAAGAAACACAUUUCUGGUCUUUAUAAGUCACCCAGUCUAAGUUAUUUUGUUAUAGUGGCAGGAACAGACUGAGAUAGCAUCUUUAUUAUGGAAUCUUUGGUCCUCACACUUAAUGAAUGGGCUUCAAGUAUUUCGUUUGUUUUUAAAUGAAUGGGCUCCUUCCCUAUAAUUGACUUCAUUUUCAUCUCUUAAAGGUCAAGUUUUACAAGUCAGAACUGGAAAAAAAUCUCUACUCAACCCUCUAAAGGGUCCUAGGUUUUGUGGCAGGAUCACUGUGGAUAAUUAAGAGGCUGCUUGUGGUUUUAUCUAACCAUUAUUUUACAGUUUCCUCUGGUGACUCAUGUGACUUAAAUAAUUGCACAAAAUGCCACUUAAACAGAAGAUACUAAGUAGGGUGACAAAUAGCACACGAAUUGAGCUCCUGAUUGUUCUCCUGCCAUACGUGAACAAAGGGUGAUGAUCUAGAGUCAGCACCUCAUUUAGGAAUGGCCAUGUGUCAACAGUGACACAGGCUGGGCCUCACUAAGAAAGGUCAGAUGCACAGAAUCCAAAUGCAUAAUCAUGUUGACAGAUAAGAGUUUAAACAGAUUAUAAAAUAAAAUCCUAAGUAACGUAUUUAGCUCUGCUACUCUAGAGAGUCAACCGUUAGAACUAGGUUUUUUUAUAUUCCAGAAUAAAUCAAUAGACUUUUGUACCUUUGGUUUGAAAAAUAACUACACACAUGCUCUUAUUUUGUUUCUACUUUGCCCAAGUUUAAGCCUCGUUGAUCCUAUAGGUAGAUGGCAUUUAUUUGUUGAAAAACUACUCAGAAAAAUUCUUACUUUACACAGAGAACUACAGAAGUGCUAGUGGCACUUUUAUGCCCAAUACAGCCCAGUGGAUUAUAUAAUAUUUUCUUAAAUUGCUGAAAAGAUUUUUGCCAGAAAUAAACCAAGUAGCACUCACAGACUUGAUUUCCAUACCAAUGUGAAAUCUUGACUAUGCACAUUAUUCAAAAGUGACACCAUACUGAGGACAAAGAUAGGAUUUAUGUAUGGUAAAAAGGCAAGUGAAUGAAGCUAUAAUUUUAUUUCAUUACUCUUAGUACAUCCACAACUAUUUCCACCUAAAUAGAUAUUUAAAAUAAGCAUACACAAGUAUCGACUAUUAUCUACAAAUAUUUAUUGUAACACUUGAAUAGAACUACAGGAAGCCCUUGGCACUGAUAGAAAAUAUUGAUUCACUGUUAGGUUACAAAAAUUUAUACAUAGCAAAAUUUAAUGCUCUUUACAUAAAAAAUAUUAGACUACUUAAACAAAACUUCCAAAAAUUCCUGGUAAUAGCUACCAGAAUUAGAAAAGUAAAAUUAGGCUUUAGACACUGCCUCUUCUAGAACACUGGACUCUGACAGCACCUCCACUGCUGGAAAUAAUAGUUAAAUCUGUCAUGCAACAGGAAAACAAAACACUAAGCUAUUUUGGAACAACUGUUCUACACAGAAGAGAGCUUCUCUUAAUU